rnacentral:rRNA from 1 species
AGCAGCCGCGGUAAUUCCAGCUCCAAUAGCGUAUAUUAAAGUUGUUGCAGUUAAAAAGCUCGUAGUUGAAUUUCGGGAUCAAUAUGUUGGUCGUGCCUUGGUACGUACUGGCAUUAUUGGUUUCUACCUUCUGAAGAACCUCGAUGUCAUUAAUUUGGUGUCUUGGGGAAUCAGGACUGUUACUUUGAAAAAUUAGAGUGUUUAAAGCAGGCUCGCGCUUGAAUACAUUAGCAUGGAAUAAUGAAAUAGGACGUUUGAUUCUAUUUUGUUGGUUUCUAGGAUCGACGUAAUGAUUAAUAGGGAUAGCUGGGGGCAUUAGUAUUCAAUUGUCAGAGGUGAAAUUCUUGGAUUUAUUGAAGACUAACUACUGCGAAAGCAUUUGCCAAGGAUGUUUUCAUUAAUCAAGAACGAAA